AAUCGGCAGUCGGCAGUCGGAAAAACCACUUCCAGGGACAGAUACUUCUGUUUUCCUAUUGAGGCGCAACUCACGAGCAACCAACGCCGCCGUCUAGAGCGUCUGGUUCCCAGGAAGAUGCGGCCGUCUCGGCAGCCGGCGGCCGUCCUGGUGCAGUGCUGAGGCAGGUGUGCGUCCACGCAGCCUCCACGCCGGUCCAGAGAGCUGGAGGCGUGGCCAGUCUCCCGUGGCAGCGUACUGGUCUCAGAGCGCAGGCUUUGCAGCUACACUGACCCGGGUUCAAGGAUGGUCUCUGCCCAGUCUCCUCACUGUGUGAUUGUGGUCGACUGCCGUUUCCCACGAUGGCCGCCGCACUGCAGCCCGUCCCACGUGCUCUUCUUGCAGCGUGACCACACUCUUCCCAUCCAGCACUGGGGCCUGUUCUCCUCCCCCUUGAACCUGGGCAGGUCUCCGUGACUGCCAUGAGCAGUAACAGAUGGCACAAGUGACGCCGUGUGCCUUUGGGGGCGACACCAUAAAGAUGCCACGCCUUUUUCCACCUCACCCUCUUCGGGAUGCGGUUAUACCUUGUGAAGAAGCUCAAACCGACCCCAGGGACGAGACCCUGUGGAGAGGCCACCCAUGGGUGUUUUGGCCCGUGGCCAGCAUCCACCACCCACGCGGACAGGGUGAGGCAUUUCUGAGUUGACUCCAUCCCUAGCUGCCCUCUCAGCGCGACCUCCUGAGUGACCUCAACAAGAAUCAGCCAGCCGAGCCCAGUCAACCCCCAGAAUAAGACUUGUUUUAAGGCCCGAAGUUUGGGGUGAUUCCUACACAGCAGUAAUUGGACCGGUGACCUUAAACUUCACUCAGCCUCCCUCGCCUCAGCUUCUUUAUCUGCGAAAUCUACCUUAGAGGAUUAUCAUGAGAAUUAAAAGACAGUGGAAAUAGAGUUCUUAGCGUGUGCUUGGUGUGGGCACCGGUGAUAGCUGUGCAACAAGUGUAAUAAUUAAGAUCAAUGACGUCGUGAGUGGGCUGGAAGAGGCCUGGACUGAAACCUUAGAACUGGGAAGAGACAGACAAUUGGGCAGCUGAACGUGCCGUGGGGCGACCUCCUCGCAAGAGCCCGAGAGGGGAGCCGAGGUUCCAGAUGUGCGGUGAGGAGCUGUGACAGGAUUCCGGCAGCAGCGGUGUGAGGGGGACAGGCCGGGUGGGGAGGCCUUUACUUGGCUGCGUGCUGUGCGUGAGCCGGCGGCGUGAAGACUGGAGUGUCCCAGGGGGCCAGGCCCCAGCUCCCGCCCGGCGGCCUGCACACCUGGCCCAUCCUCUCGGGGGGCCCGGCCACCCGCGCCGCCGUCUGCCGAGCAAGC